GACGAACGCUGGCGGCGUGCCUAAUACAUGCAAGUCGAACGCACUCUCGUUUAGAUUGAAGGAGCUUGCUCCUGAUUGAUAAGCAUUUGAGUGAGUGGCGGACGGGUGAGUAACACGUGGGUAACCUGCCCUAAAGUGGGGGAUAACAUUUGGAAACAGAUGCUAAUACCGCAUAAAACCUAGCACCGCAUGGUGCAGGGUUGAAAGAUGGUUUCGGCUAUCACUUUAGGAUGGACCCGCGGUGCAUUAGUUAGUUGGUGAGGUAAAGGACUCACCAAGACCGUGAUGCAUAGCCGACCUGAGAGGGUAAUCGGCCACACUGGGACUGUGACACGGCCCAGACUCCUACGGGAGGGCAGCAGUAGGGAAGUACUUCCCUACCAAAUAGGACGGAAAGGUACUGAUGGAGGCAACGACCG
rnacentral:rRNA from 1 species